rnacentral:rRNA from 1 species
AGUGAACGCUGGCGGUAGGCCUAACACAUGCAAGUCGAACGGCAGCACAGUAAGAGCUUGCUCUUACGGGUGGCGAGUGGCGGACGGGUGAGGAAUACAUCGGAAUCUACUUUUUCGUGGGGGAUAACGUAGGGAAACUUACGCUAAUACCGCAUACGACCUACGGGUGAAAGCAGGGGAUCUUCGGACCUUGCGCGAUUGAAUGAGCCGAUGUCGGAUUAGCUAGUUGGCGGGGUAAAGGCCCACCAAGGCGACGAUCCGUAGCUGGUCUGAGAGGAUGAUCAGCCACACUGGAACUGAGACACGGUCCAGACUCCUACGGGAGGCAGCAGUGGGGCAUAUUGGACCAUGGGCGCAAGCCUGAUCCAGCCAUACCGCGUGCGUGAAGAAGGCCUUCGGGUUGUAAAGCCCUUUUGUUGGGAAAGAAAAGCAGCAGGUUAAUACCCCGCUGUUCUGACGGUACCCAAAUAAUAAGCACCGGCUAACUUCGUG